GCACCGACCUACUCUCCCAGUGCUAUCUACACCAGUACCUUCGGCGCUCCUGCGUUUCACGACCCGGUUCGGGAUGGGACGGGGUGGGUCCACAGGGCUCGAGGCAC
rnacentral:rRNA from 5 species